rnacentral:lncRNA from 1 species
GUGUGGUCCCUCAUCGCUGAUGUAUCCUAAGGGCUGGCAACACAGCCCGGCUCCUCGCGUGUUUCCUGGAGAAACAACACCCCCAGGGCCCUGGGGGUGGCAGAGGGGAGUCUUCUGGGACCAGCUCCCCGUGGGCCUGAGAGGGAGGUGAGCCUGCAUCACGGGGGGCGGGGCGGAUGUGGCACAGAGCCCAGCAGCAGAGAACACUGGCCACGUGGCCCGCCGUCAUGGGUCUGCGCCGACCUGGCCUGUCCAGCUGUCGUCUCUGGCAGGGGGUCCUUGGGGCUGGGGUCUGCCAGGGUGAGCAGUGGGACUGGUCGGGGGGCGGGGUGGGGGACACGCGGUGGGAGGAGGUAUGAGGUGGGCAGGGCCAGGUGGCCAGUCCCAACUGAUUGCCACUGGCGCCGCUGGACAGGAGAGCCGCAGCCAGGAGGCCUGCCCUGUCUCAGCCCGCAGAGGAGACGCUCUUCCCAAGCCUUCUCCGAGGCCUGCUCUAUGCUCAUACAAGUCUGGGGGUCUGGGGCGGCCAGUGCCCCUGGUGGGCUUCUCAUCAUACUCUCUGCAGCUGUCACAGGCAGCUGGGCGUCGGGGAAGGCGGGGCGGCCUCUGGCUGAUCCCUGACAUGACAGCUCCCUUUCCUUCCUUUCCUGGGGUUUCAGCAGGUCUCGGGACCCAGGGGCCGACCCCUGCCCGACACGGGCCAGCUCCUCCGCUGGGAACACGAGGACAGAGCUGCCGCUCUCCCACCGCUCACAGGAAUGGUCGGCCGCCCCCCAGGACCUACUCUCCAGACAGACUGCACGCAGCAAAGCCAGCCUGCCUGUCCCGGCCCGUCCAGCAGACCCCACGGCCGCCCAGCCCCAGCCCCAGGCACCGUGGGAGAGCCGCACGGCCAUGCCAGAUUUCCCAAGAGAUACACUGA